UACGUAGGGUGCGAGCGUUGCCCGGAUUUAUUGGGCGUAAAGAGCGUGUAGGCGGCUCGGUAAGUCCGCUGUGAAAGUCGGGGGCUCAACCCUCGAAUGCCGGUGGAUACUGUCGAGCUAGAGUGCGGAAGAGGCGAGUGGAAUUCCUGGUGUAGCGGUGAAAUGCGCAGAUAUCAGGAGGAACACCGAUUGCGAAGGCAGCUCGCUGGGACGUUACUGACGCUGAGACGCGAAAGCGUGGGGAGCAAACAGG
rnacentral:rRNA from 1 species